GCCUUGGCCCAAGCAGCUGUAAUUCACAAGCAAACUAAGAAACAGAAGAUGAAAAUUACUUCCACCAGGAGAGCUGGGCCAUGGAAGAAGAUGAUUCAUAGGUCACAGGAGGGAGAGCGCCCGGCCCAGAGGGUGACAUGCUGGAACAUGAGGACCAUCAGCUCUGAUCACUU